rnacentral:rRNA from 1 species
UUCCAGACUCCUACGGGAGGCAGCAGUGGGGAAUAUUGGGCAAUGGGCGCAAGCCUGGCCCAGCAACGCCGCGUGAAGGAAGAAGGCUUUCGGGUUGUAAACUUCCUUUAUUCGGGACGAAGCAAGUGACGGUACCGAAUGAAUAAGCCACGGCUAACUACGUGCCAGCAGCCGCGGUAAUACGGAGGAUGCGAGCGUUAUCCGGAUUUAUUGGGUUUAAAGGGUGCGCAGGCGGCGUGUCAAGCAAGCGGUAAAAUAGCGGGGCUCAACCCCGUCGAGUCGUUUGAACUGGCGCGCUUGAGUUCAGGCGAGGUAGGCGGAAUUCGUGGUGUAGCGGUGAAAUGCAUAGAUAUCACGAAGAACUCCGAUUGCGAAGGCAGCUUACCAGUCUGCGACUGACGCUCAGGCACGAAAGUGUGGGUAUCGAACAGGAUUAGAUACCCCAGUA